GUCUAUGGCCAUACCACCUGAUCAUGCCAGACCUCAUCUGAUCUCAGAAGCUAAGCAGGGUUGGGCCUGGCUAGUACUUGGAUGGGAGAAAAUAAAACAACUUAGAUU
rnacentral:rRNA from 1 species